rnacentral:rRNA from 1 species
AACGAACGCUGGCGGCAGGCUUAACACAUGCAAGUCGAGCGCAUCCUUCGGGGUGAGCGGCGGACGGGUGAGUAACGCGUGGGAACGUGCCCUCUUCUACGGAAUAGCCUCGGGAAACUGAGAGUAAUGCCGUAUACGCCCGCAAGGGGAAAGAUUUAUCGGAGGAGGAUCGGCCCGCGUUGGAUUAGGUAGUUGGUGGGGUAACGGCCUACCAAGCCGACGAUCCAUAGCUGGUUGGAGAGGAUGAUCAGCCACACUGGGACUGAGACACGGCCCAGACUCCUACGGGAGGCAGCAGUGGGGAAUCUUAGACAAUGGGGGCAACCCUGAUCCAGCCAUGCCGCGUGAUCGAUGAAGGCCUUAGGGUUGUAAAGAUCUUUCAGCUGGGAAGAUAAUGACGGUACCAGCAGAAGAAGCCCCGGCUAACUCCGUG